CUUUUUUAUGGUGUAAAACACAUUACAUUUUCACUGUAAAGCUGAAGGAAAUUCUUCUAAAUAA
rnacentral:tRNA from 1 species